CCCAAAUUCUCCCCAAAGCACUGACAUAUGUAACCGCCCAUCUCUAGACUCCACUUGUCCACGAUUUACAUCUGGUGCUUAGAAUCUCGCUCCUUUCCUUUAACUGUACCAUGCGUUCAACUUUGAUUUGCGUGCUUCUCCCAGGAGCUCGUCCUCCUCUGCUUAACGCAGGUUCCCUACCCACCGUCCGGGGCCACUUGGCUGCCUCCUCGUACUCCUCCUAGGAUUAUCCUAAACGGGGCCCUCGAGAGGAAGAAGAAAUGAUAAGACAUACGACCCGGAAAAUGUGGGGCCACAUGGUCUGGACUCUGAUGGGAAAAGCCAAAUACAGGUGUCUUCCUCUGCUGGCUCGUUUUUAAACAGGGAAAGAUCUCAACCACGGUCUACACACCGAGCUUGGCUGUGUGACUUCAAUGGGCCUUUCUUAAGUGUCACAUACACAGGAAAACCGUUCUACUCUGUUUGUACUGGAAGCACACCCUGACUGACUGCAAUCCGAUUAUAUUUUCAAGUGGUCAUUGUUUCCACUCAGCUGUUUUCUGUGUUUUAGUUUGAGUCUAAAACCUGGGGGGAAACUCAACCUCCUCCUAAGAUUCCUGCAGAUAACAGAAUUGUAAAAUCUGUGGUCACUUCAUUCCUCAUUUUUCAUCGAUGGAACUGGAUGUUUUUCCAGUAACAUCCAAUUUAAGGUAUGUGUGCGUGCGUGCGCGCGCAUGUGUAUUCACAUUCUAGUGUGACCUCUAAACAUACAGUUAUGACGUUUGAUAUAGAAGCUACUUCCUGUCUUCGUGUGCUCUUGUUAGGCUGCGCAGAACACACCACAAAACAGAGACCACCGCUCACAGACGCAAACAGCAAGAGUGUUGUUUAUUCCAGCAUGCUGGGUUUUACCGUCUGUCUGGUGCUCAGUCUCAAGCCCACAGCCCCAAGUGUAAUAGGCAGAAGGCAGUACCCACAAUAGAAGAGAAAGAAGGAAGAAAGACCAUUACUCCCUGGCAAUCAUAUUUUAUCCCAACGCUAAGUUUAUAUGUUUCUUACUGAGUAAAAAUUUUACUUGCCAAAUGUCUACCAUCA